rnacentral:lncRNA from 1 species
UUUAUUAUUUAUGUCGUUAAUCCAUCAAGGCUAAUCGUGCUUGACCUACGUCACUACCAAGAUGAGUGAUCCACUGGGAAGUUACCAAAGUAUAUACAAUUAAAAUUGAAGAUAAAAUCCCUACAAUAAAAAUUAAUAAAAUAAAAUUAAAAACAAAACAAUAAUUCAAUCCUUCAACCCUAUGCAUACUCUCCUUUUCUUCAACCCUCAUCUUCUCCAUCUCCCAGCCUCCUUCACUUCUCCGUCUCCCUCCCACUGGCGUCUUCCUCU